AAACUAACAGCUGGCAUGGGAAAGACCCUGAUCGAAAAGGGGGCUCACCCGGAACAAGGCUAUUCCCCGCACUUUGGGUGUGCUGACACCUACGAUGUCCCCAAAUGUGGAAUACUCGACUGCAGAAUGUGUGGUAGUGCGGGGGACUGCGUUCACGAA